GAUGAACGCUGGCGGCGUGCCUAAUACAUGCAAGUCGAGCGAACGGACGAGAAGCUUGCUUCUCUGAUGUUAGCGGCGGGCGGGUGAGUAACACGUGGAUAACCUACCUAUAAGACUGGGAUAACUUCGGGAAACCGGAGCUAAUACCGGAUAAUAUUUUGAACCGCAUGGUUCAAAAGUGAAAGACGGUCUUGCUGCCACUUAUAGAUGGAUCCGCGCUGCAUUAGCUAGUUGGUAAGGUAACGGCUUACCAAGGCAACGAUGCAUAGCCGACCUGAGAGGGUGAUCGGCCACACUGGAACUGAGACACGGUCCAGACUCCUACGGGAGGCAGCAGUAGGGAAUCUUCCGCAAUGGGCGAAAGCCUGACGGAGCAACGCCGCGUGAGUGAUGAAGGUCUUCGGAUCGUAAAACUCUGUUAUUAGGGAAGAACAUAUGUGUAAGUAACUGUGCACAUCUUGACGGUACCUAAUCAGAAAGCCACGGCUAACUACGUG
rnacentral:rRNA from 1 species